UACGGAGGGUGCAAGCGUUAAUCGGAAUUACUGGGCGUAAAGGGUGCGUAGGCGGUUCGUUAAGUCUGUCGUGAAAUCCCCGGGCUCGACCUGGGAAUGGCGAUGGAUACUGGCGAGCUAGAGUGUGUCAGAGGAUGGUGGAAUUCCCGGUGUAGCGGUGAAAUGCGUAGAGAUCGGGAGGAACAUCAGUGGCGAAGGCGGCCAUCUGGGACAACACUGACGCUGAAGCACGAAAGCGUGGGGAGCAAACAGG
rnacentral:rRNA from 1 species